GUACACCGGGUGGUUGCCCUGGCAGUUGGCACAACGGUACUCAUUGCUGCAAGUCUCUGGCGAAUGGUCUUUGCCAGAGCACUUUGGGCAGGUGGAGUGUCCGCGGCAGACAAGCGAACUGUGCCCAAAAUGCUGGCACUUGAAACAACGUCUUGGGUUUGGAAUGUAUGGUCUGACAUUGCAACUGAGAGACCACGCCCUGCUCACUCAGUCCAUCUUCAAUCUCAGAUUCUGUGCAUUCCAGGAGUUCAUCUUCUGAUAUUACACCUUUGGUUAUGUUCAGUGUGCGGUGUACGUUAACACUUACAGUGCAGCAGGCGUGUCGCCCACCAUGGAGCCCAACUUAGGGAACGUGCCCCGCACGCUAACACCUACCUCUGCACUAUACCCUAGUGCAGCUUCUGGAGAGUGAAAAGACUGCCCAAGGUUGACCCUUGCCGCCAAAGAAGGUGAA